GACGAACGCUGACGGUGUGCUUUAGACAUGCAAGUCGAACGAGAAAGCCCUUCGGGUUAGGUAAAGUAGGCGAACGGGUGAGUAACACGUGGGCGAAUCUGCCCCUCCGCAGGGGGACGAACCCGGAGGAAACUCCGGCUAAUACCCCGUAAGUUCAAAGGGAGGCAUCUCUCUUCGAAGAAAGGUAGCUUCGGCCAUCCGGCGAGGGAUGAGCCCGCGGUGCAUUAGCUAGUUGGUGGGGUAACGGCCUACCAAGGCGACGAUGCAUAGCUGGUCUGAGAGGAUGAUCAGCCACACUGGGACUGAGACACGGCCCCAGACUCCUACGGGAGGCAGCAGUCGGGAAUCUUGCGCAAUGGGCGAAAGCCUGACG
rnacentral:rRNA from 1 species